GAGGUGGCGAUGAUUAUAAAAAAUUCCUCGUACUGAAUGCUCAAUUAUAUGAAAUUGGGUAUGAGUAUGACAGACUCUUAUAUACACCCAUAGAAUCUGAGCCCU